GACUGUGCAAAGGUAGCAUAAUCAGUUGACUCUUAAUUGGGGCCGGGAAUGAACGAAUAUACGGAGAAGAGCUGUCCCUUUAGUGUAUGCGAAUUUGGUUAACAAGUGCAAAUACUUGUGUUAUUAAAUAAGACGAGAAGACCCUUGAAGCUUUAAAGAAUUCUUUUGUUGGGGCGACAGAAUUACAUUUAACUAAUUUGUUAAGACCUGAAGGCUUUCAUGCACGUUUAAGCUACUCGAGGGAUAACAGCAUAAUUU
rnacentral:rRNA from 1 species